AGUGAACGCUGGCGGUAGGCCUAACACAUGCAAGUCGAACGGCAGCACAGUAAGAGCUUGCUCUUACGGGUGGCGAGUGGCGGACGGGUGAGGAAUACAUCGGAAUCUACUUUUUCGUGGGGGAUAACGUAGGGAAACUUACGCUAAUACCGCAUACGACCUACGGGUGAAAGCAGGGGAUCUUCGGACCUUGCGCGAUUGAAUGAGCCGAUGUCGGAUUAGCUAGUUGGCGGGGUAAAGGCCCACCAAGGCGACGAUCCGUAGCUGGUCUGAGAGGAUGAUCAGCCACACUGGAACUGAGACACCGUCCAGACUCCUACGGGAGGCCGCAGUGGGGAAUAUUGGACAAUGGGCGCAAGCCUGAUCCAGCCAUACCGCGUGGGUGAAGAAGGCCUUCGGGUUGUAAAGCCCUUUUGUUGGGAAAGAAAAGCAGCAGGUUAAUACCCCGCUGUUCUGACGGUACCCAAAGAAUAAGCACCGGCUAACUUCGUG
rnacentral:rRNA from 1 species